ensembl:lncRNA
AUCUAACAUGAAGCAACAAAAAACUAGCAACGCGACUUGUUUUGAUGACUUGUGAUCACAUGAAAAGUCUGGAUGUGAUUCUGUAUUCGGGACACGUAGAUUCAAACCAUGAAGAUACUUGACCAUAAUCGGUUGGAGGUGUGAAUUUUGCCUUUAGCCCAAAGCAAGCCGGCUGAAGACGGCGGCAGAUACUGACCAGUCAGAGGUGGGAGUCGGCUGGAAGCGCUCCAGAGGACGGCCCGGAGCUCCCAGACUGUGCGUGGGUGAUGAGUCGCCGUGACGUCGCUCGAAGGUCUGUGGACGGAUGUUUGACGAUUUUAGACGUGGCCGUCUUGGAUUGAGGCCGUCGCCUCCACAAGUGCACUAUGAAC